rnacentral:rRNA from 1 species
CCAGACUCCUACGGGAGGCAGCAGUGGGGAAUAUUGCACAAUGGGCGCAAGCCUGAUGCAGCAACGCCGCGUGAGCGAAGAAGGUCUUCGGAUCGUAAAGCUCUGUCCUUGAGGAAGAAGGAAGUGACGGUACUCAAGGAGGAAGCCCCGGCUAACUACGUGCCAGCAGCCGCGGUAAUACGUAGGGGGCAAGCGUUAUCCGGAAUUAUUGGGCGUAAAGAGUACGUAGGUGGUUUUGUAAGCGCGGGGUGAAAGGCAGUGGCUUAACCAUUGUAAGCCUUGCGAACUGCAAGACUUGAGUGCAGGAGAGGAAAGCGGAAUUCCUAGUGUAGCGGUGAAAUGCUUAGAUAUUAGGAGGAACACCAGUGGCGAAGGCGGCUUUCUGGACUGUAACUGACACUGAGGUACGAAAGCGUGGGGAGCAAACAGGAUUAGAUACCCGAGUA